rnacentral:rRNA from 2 species
UUUUAUGGAGAGUUUGAUCCUGGCUCAGGAUGAACGCUGGCGGCGUGCCUAAUACAUGCAAGUCGAGCGAACGGACGAGAAGCUUGCUUCUCUGAUGUUAGCGGCGGACGGGUGAGUAACACGUGGAUAACCUACCUAUAAGACUGGGAUAACUUCGGGAAACCGUAGCUAAUACCGGAUAAUAUUUUGAACCGCAUGGUUCAAAAGUGAAAGACGGUCUUGCUGUCACUUAUAGAUGGAUCCGCGCUGCAUUAGCUAGUUGGUAAGGUAACGGCUUACCAAGGCAACGAUGCAUAGCCGACCUGAGAGGGUGAUCGGCCACACUGGAACUGAGACACGGUCCAGACUCCUACGGGAGGCAGCAGUAGGGAAUCUUCCGCAAUGGGCGAAAGCCUGACGGAGCAACGCCGCGUGAGUGAUGAAGGUCUUCGGAUCGUAAAACUCUGUUAUUAGGGAAGAACAUAUGUGUAAGUAACUGUGCACAUCUUGACGGUACCUAAUCAGAAAGCCACGGCUAACUACGUGCCAGCAGCCGCGGUAAUACGUAGGUGGCAAGCGUUAUCCGGAAUUAUUGGGCGUAAAGCGCGCGUAGGCGGUUUUUUAAGUCUGAUGUGAAAGCCCACGGCUCAACCGUGGAGGGUCAUUGGAAACUGGAAAACUUGAGUGCAGAAGAGGAAAGUGGAAUUCCAUGUGUAGCGGUGAAAUGCGCAGAGAUAUGGAGGAACACCAGUGGCGAAGGCGACUUUCUGGUCUGUAACUGACGCUGAUGUGCGAAAGCGUGGGGAUCAAACAGGAUUAGAUACCCUGGUAGUCCACGCCGUAAACGAUGAGUGCUAAGUGUUAGGGGGUUUCCGCCCCUUAGUGCUGCAGCUAACGCAUUAAGCACUCCGCCUGGGGAGUACGACCGCAAGGUUGAAACUCAAAGGAAUUGACGGGGACCCGCACAAGCGGUGGAGCAUGUGGUUUAAUUCGAAGCAACGCGAAGAACCUUACCAAAUCUUGACAUCCUUUGACAACUCUAGAGAUAGAGCCUUCCCCUUCGGGGGACAAAGUGACAGGUGGUGCAUGGUUGUCGUCAGCUCGUGUCGUGAGAUGUUGGGUUAAGUCCCGCAACGAGCGCAACCCUUAAGCUUAGUUGCCAUCAUUAAGUUGGGCACUCUAAGUUGACUGCCGGUGACAAACCGGAGGAAGGUGGGGAUGACGUCAAAUCAUCAUGCCCCUUAUGAUUUGGGCUACACACGUGCUACAAUGGACAAUACAAAGGGCAGCGAAACCGCGAGGUCAAGCAAAUCCCAUAAAGUUGUUCUCAGUUCGGAUUGUAGUCUGCAACUCGACUACAUGAAGCUGGAAUCGCUAGUAAUCGUAGAUCAGCAUGCUACGGUGAAUACGUUCCCGGGUCUUGUACACACCGCCCGUCACACCACGAGAGUUUGUAACACCCGAAGCCGGUGGAGUAACCUUUUAGGAGCUAGCCGUCGAAGGUGGGACAAAUGAUUGGGGUGAAGUCGUAACAAGGUAGCCGUAUCGGAAGGUGCGGCUGGAUCACCUCCUUUCU